GCUCCUUUCAGCAUGGCCGGAGGAGAGGUGUACUGGCAGGCGCGUGACACACACAGAUCAGACUCGUAUUUCUGUGUUGCAGAUGUGCAGUAAAGAGCCAAAGACCCAA